rnacentral:rRNA from 1 species
AGUGAACGCUGGCGGUAGGCCUAACACAUGCAAGUCGAACGGCAGCACAGUAAGAGCUUGCUCUUACGGGUGGCGAGUGGCGGACGGGUGAGGAAUACAUCGGAAUCUACUUUUUCGUGGGUGAUAACGUAGGGAAACUUACGCUAAUACCGCAUACGACCUACGGGGGAAAGCAGGGGAUCUUCUGACCUUGCGCGAUUGAAUGAGCCGAUCUCGGAUUAGCUAGUUGGCGGGGUAAAGGCCCACCAAGGCGACGAUCCGUAGCUGGUCUGAGAGGAUGAUCAGCCACACUGGAACUGAGACACGGUCCAGACUCCUACGGGAGGCAGCAGUGGGGAAUAUUGGACAAUGGGCGCAAGCCUGAUCCAGCCAUACCGCGUGGGUGAAGAAGGCCUUCGGGUUGUAAAGCCCUUUUGUUGGGAAAGAAAAGCAGCAGGUUAAUACCCCGCUGUUCUGACGGUACCCAAAGAAUAAGCACCGGCUAACUUCGUG